rnacentral:rRNA from 1 species
GAUGAACGCUGGCGGCGUGCCUAAUACAUGCAAGUCGAGCGAACGGACGAGAAGCUUGCUUCUCUGAUGUUAGCGGCGGACGGGUGAGUAACACGUGGAUAACCUACCUAUAAGACUGGGAUAACUUCGGGAAACCGUAGCUAAUACCGGAUAAUAUUUUGAACCGCAUGGUUCAAAAGUGAAAGACGGUCUUGCCGUCGGCUAUGGAUGGAUCCGCGCUUCAUUAGCUAGUUGGUACGGGAGCGGCUUACCACGGCAACGGCGGGUAGCCGGCCUGAGAGGGUGAACGGCCACAUUGCGACUGAGGUACGGACCAGACUCCUACGGGCGGCAGCAGUGGGGAACAUGGCAGAAUGGGCGGAAGCGUGAUGCAGAAACGCCGGGUGCGGGAUGACGGCCUUCGGGUUAUAAACCGAUUUCGACUGUGACGAAGCGUGAGUGACGGUAAUGAGUAAAGAAGCACCGGCUAACUACGUG